rnacentral:lncRNA from 1 species
UAAAGGAACAAAACAAAGUGACAACAGAAAAUGAAUAACUUUCAAAGGGUUAUGUGUGCCUCUCGUUUCAUGCGUGUGUUUGGAAAGUUCAAAAGAGCACAACUAAGAGAAAAGCCACAAAGAAAAAUAGGACCAUUUAGUAAUCCUGUGAAAAGAUUAGCAAGAUUAAAAGAGAAGGAAAGACUAUUUUGUGACAUCGGUAUGCCGCGUAUUAUACCAAGAGCAAAAAUAAACUAUAAAGAAAAAUUAUUACAAAUUAUAGAACCACCAAGAGUAAAAAAAGAAGUACUAGAGAGAAGGUUAGAUUUUUUAUUGUCAAAUGACAGUGUAUAUCAACAGUUAUAUAACAAAAUGUAUAAUGGUAUAACACCAUAUCAAUGUGAACUGUUUAUGUGGGAAAGGCAAAUGAGAGAUUUACGGAAAAUAUACCGAGCACAAUAUAUACAUAAAUUAAGUGAAGUUACAAACGAAGAACGAAAUAAACAAAUAAAAUUAUUAUUACAAACUAAAGAAGAUAAAAAAAAAAGAAAAGAAAAAAUUCGAACUCGGAUAUUAGAAGAAAAAAAAAGAAGAGCUAUACUAAAAGAUCGUUUAUCAUUAGAAAAAAAAGUAAAUGAAUCUAUUCUUUUUAAAAGACAAUCUAAUAUAAAAAAAAAAAAUAUCUACUGGUUAAAUAAAUUACAAAAAAAAUGUAUGUAUUCAAAUGCAGAAGAUUUUGAAAAAAAAAUAAAAAAUAUGGAUAAAGAAAAUGUUAAAACUGAUAAACAUGAUGUUAUGAAAACUGUUUCAGGUGUAACUAAAAAAAGUAACACUAUCAGUGGUGCUAUCAAAAGUAAUCAUAUAAACUAUCAAACAGAUGGUAGUGAUAAUGAUGGUGAUAUUGAUGGUGACAUUUUAUUUAAUCGUAAUGUUUCAACUAGCGCGUUAUAUAAAGACCUAGGAUAUGAUAUAAGGGAAGACAAAGGGUAUCAUAGUACACAUUUCAAAAUAGAUAAAGUUUAUAGAAAAUUAUUAGAAGAAUCUUUUGAAUUUUUAGAAGAGGAUGCAGAUCAAUACGAAGAAGAAAGAAAUGAUGAAAAUGAUGCCGAUUAUAUUACUGAUAGUAGUAAUAAUAAUGUGUCACAUCUAAAAAGAGCAAAAAUUUUAUAUUCUU